rnacentral:misc_RNA from 1 species
AUAUAUGCGCAAUGGACUAAUGCGCAUAAAUAUGUUGUCUUUGCGACAUGGCGGCGAAGUGUAGAAUGGACAGACUCUGGUUGAUAUCUAGCUGAUUCACAAUACCCAGGAGGACUUGAGGAGCACACACAUAUCGUAAUAUAUGCUGCAGAAAAUAGAUUUGCUGUAUUAACACAUCUGAAGUGAGGAUACAGAUCUAGUCAAAAUGGAGUGGCAUAUCAUGAAUGUUGACGGGCUGAACAGCCUGUCGAGUAACCUGGGUAUGGUGGAGGAUGGUGUCUAUAUCCCGUCCUGUAACAGUCAAGAGAUACUAGAGGAGAAUGUAGAGUUCCUGAUGAAAGACACACUAGAGAAGACAUACAGACGACUGCUGUUUAAUAAUAAAUUCCCCGAGAAGGAAUUGUUGCCCCUGAUAAUGUACAUCCAGGAUGACCACACUAACUUGCAGGAAGCACUUAGACUUAUGAUCCUGCUGACCAAUCCUGUGGAUUGUUAUUUGGAGACAAGUGUGGGAGAGAGAACCAAACCUCCCUGGGCCACAGAGCUGGAGAAGGCCAUCAAAAAGACCAUCGAAAAGUCAUUUUGUAGAGCUUUCCUCACACCCAUCCUAGGGGAAGUGAAGCUCCUUCUAGAGGAGGCUGGACCAUACGACCUAAUGGAUGAUGCAGUGCUGGCGAUAAACAACUGUAUUUUCAUGAUUCGCAAUCUUCUUUAUAUGUACGAGUCCAACCCAGAUCAGUCCACUUUGAUUCAGCACAUAGAACAUGUGAGACUCCUGUUGGAUUGUGGAUAUGAAGAUGUCCUUGUUUCUCUUCUUCAAAAGAAAGAAAUGAGCAAGUGGAGUAGUGGUAUCAUGCAGGUCAGCUGGAUGAUAUAUAAAGGGAAGACAAAUGGACUGUUUUCAAACCUGACCGACAAUAAGGUGCAUUGGGAGCCAAUGAUCGAGUGUAUGCCCAUGGGAGGAGGACGAAUGUCCGACCUAGAUGGGUCAGAUACGUGUGGCCUAAAUCACGUGUUUGAUAACACCUGUAGCAUCCUAGACGGCAGUGAACAGGGUAGCCAGAGUUCAGACAACUUUGAUAGCUUUCUCCUUCGCCGAGAGUCCAACAAUCUCCUUAAGAUCACAGCGACCAUGUCACUUUGGACGUCGGAAGGAAUGGUAGAAUUCAGAGACAAACUAACAACGUUCACUACAAGGAUUUUAAAAGGUGGUUUCAUGGCCGUCAUUUCUGACAUAAUGAACCAGUUGACAUCUAAAGACAUUGUGUUGGACGAAGCUUACCUGUUCUGGAUGUUAGCAUUGUUCAUGAGAUUUGCAAAAACAACACAAUUGCCAGUAAAAUCUGUCAAACAAGUUUUGACAAAGGACAUGGUUGGUUAUCUCACAUACCAAUGCUUCAUCAGAGCAGAGGACAUCUUUGUGCACCAGACGUUUACAAAGAAAGAGCCCCAGAAAUUACACCUGGCACUAUGUGCUCUGAAGGAAAUCUUGGAGUUCCUGUAUAAUGUUCAACAAGUGGACAAUCUGAAUGAGGAAGAGAAACAAUACAUCCAGGGCCUCAACAAGACGCUGGCAGCUAUGACAGACCUGCCCCAACUGAUGGUAUACCUGGUACGCCACUGCUCCAUAGAGCUACUCGGCGGCUCCUUCCUUGAGGACCUGGUCUUUACAAAUCAUCUCCUGAUGCUGCAUCUGGAUAAAUGGAUCAACACUGGACUGACUCGGAAAUCCUUCAGCCUCCUCACCCAUGUCCAAAACUAUGCUACGUUUGGAAUUAUGGGGAAGUAUGGCAGACUACUGGAGCAGUUCCUAGACAACCCUAUGGAACUCAACAACUGUCUGUUCACCAUGAUGCACCAUGUGGCAGGCGACUGUGGCUCACCAAGCGUCCUCCUGCAGAAACCCAUCCUCGACACAUUUCUGGAGAUAAACGACCAGGAGCUGUUUGUGUCAGAUGAGGUAGAUGAUCUCAUUGAAUUCAUCAUCAACAAGUUCAUCACUACAGCUGAGGAUGAUCCCUACCAAUGUGCCAUUCAUAUGUUCAGCGAGCAUACAGCCAGUGACUGCGAUAAUUUUGAUGCAGAGUUGUUGAGCCAAGGCAGCACUGAUGCUUCAGUAGAAACAGUUUGGUCCUCUGAGGACGAUGACAUCCUCAUCAUGGUGUACAUGGAGUCGGAAGACAAGUCGAAGAUUGUGGACGAGAUCCUUCGUCACUUCCAGGAGGUUGAUAAGAAUAAGACAAGAGAACAGAUAAUAUGCCAGCUGAUUGACAGUGAGUGGAUGGAAGAAGAAGACAAGGCCAAACUUCUUGCUCUCUUCCCAGAGUACAAACCACAGCGAUCAACCACACCUAUCGCACCUAACCAGCCUGAUUUCACCAUCUGUGCAAAGAAACGUAAACAUGACGAGGAGAAGGACUGGAUCCCAUGCUGUGUGCGGAGUCUGGAAGACUCUGGGUGUAGAGGUGCCAUUUCCUGGCUCCAGGGUCUCUUCUGUGAGGCAGCCUUUAUCAAAAUGAACCCAGAGUAUAUUAUCAAAGAGGCAACUGAAGAACCCAUAACUAAAUUCCAUGUGUUACACAACAAAUCAAUACCAAUUGUGUGUUUCACUGAGGAACAGGAUGGUUUUCUCGCCAACAAGAUGUUUUGUACCCUACUGGAGAACCUAGGAAUUCACAUGCCAGAAGAUGUUGGACUCCAGCACCCUCGCAUCCCCCACUUCUGGAGCCCCAAACAACUGCUCAACACCGCUGAGAGGUUAGGACCGCUUGAUGAAGUUUCUCUGAAGUUUGACAAGAUACUGAUAACAAAACUGCAGGAUGACGACGUUUAUAACCUGCCAGAGGCUGACGAUGUCAUCACAAGGAAAAGUCCCAAGAAGAUUGAAAAUGACAGUUGCAGAUAUAAAUAUGCCCAAGAAUCCAGCGGACUGUUAUGGACGGACCUUAUUCAGAACUUCAACAAGGCUUGAGGGUUCUGUGUGUGUGCCUUCUUUGUUUCUGUUUAUCUCGGAAAAUAUCAUUCCAGCAAGAACCUGAAGCUUACUGAGCUGCUUCAAUCAACUGUGAAGAUGAUGUGGUGCAGUUACUAUAGUAUCAGCAAUUCAUGUCGUUAAUCCUUGAAGAAAAGUAAUGUUUUCAUUGUAUUAACAGUAUCUGCAGAACUGGUUAAAUGCCUGAACCAACAUUGAAAUACGAUUUUACAGUGUGUUUUUACUGUAUUCGCAGUGUACAGAUUCAAUCCACGGUGAAGACGUGAUGUUUAUAAUUAAAGUGUGUUAACGGUAUCGACAGCUAAGAACCAACAAUAAGCUGUUAAGAUGUGAUAUUAGCAUUGCUUGUUACUGAAUCUGCAGUUAACAUCUUGAAUCAACUGUGAACAAAUGUGAUGUUUACAAUGUGUUGCCACCAUAUCUGAAGUACUAGUUUACGACUUGAGCUCACCUUGAAGUCAUGUGAUGUUUACUUAAUUACAAUAUCCCCAGUUUACCGUUCAGUGGACUGUGGAAUUUGAUGUUAACAGUGUGUUGUUAAUUACAGUACCUGCAGUUUACGCCUUGAAUCAACUGUGAAGACUUUUGGUGCUUACAUUGAGUGGUUACAGUUUACAGCCGUAAACCAAGACGAAAGCUGCUUGUUACAGUGUGUUGUCUUGGUAUCGGCAAUUGCUGGCGACAAAAAAAAGGCAAAAGUUCGGCUUUGAAGAAGUGUGCAUGUUCUUGCUGGCAGACUUUUCCUGUACAUACUCUAUGUCAGUAUGUGAUGUUACUAUAUGUGAUGUUAAACAUAACACAUCACUUCCUCGUUGUCUCUACAAGUAUUGUGUUAAUUAUGUUCACGUAUGAGUUGGUCUGGUUCUGGAUCACCAAAAAGUGUUCAGUGUCAUUCCAGUUGUUGAUCAUUUAAACAUUGAAACAUGUACUCCUCUCUAGAUGUUACAAACGGGUGAAUAUCUACAAUCAAACUUGUAUUAAGUGGACAGUUAUUUAUGCAAGACAUAAAAAUGAUGCCUUGAAACAAAUGACCUUUCAAUCUAAUUUUGAUAAAUUUGUCAAAAACAGAUAUCUUGGCAUGGCCCUUAGUGACUUUCCUCUGUACUCCAGGGGUGACACUCACAAAACUGUUAUGAUCAUAUUGUUAAUCAUUUUUUAGCUUGUCUUUUAGCUCUGAGCAUCAGUGUUCAUGUCAGUAAUAUUGGUUAAAGUUUUAGUUUAGUGCAAGUGAUGAUAUUAUUAUAAUGUUCAGUACGUGCCAGAACGUUGGAUCCCUAGUGUUCUAACGUUGAUGCAGUACAUUUAUUAUUAAGUUUUUCACCAGUUUUGGUAAUAACUUUUGCAUACAAAUCACCAGGUUAAAGCUUUAGUUCAAGUGUUGAAAUUCAUUAGUUUAGCCUCAGAAUUUGUAAGUUAGAAUUCUGAUAUUUGUCUUAUUGUUCUUAAGGUGGGCUCUGAUAUUGAUUUGGGCACAUAAUGACAUUGUUUAAUGAUGGUGAGGAGAUUCACGUAAUUUGUCUUGUGAGAUUGACUUAUGCUUAUGUUGUCAUUGUUAAUGAAGAAUCUGUUUAUUGGGCAAAUUCAUCCUUGAUACUCCAGGGGUUACACUCGUAUAUACACUCUCUGUACUCCAGGGGUUACACUCACGUAUACACUCUCUGUACUCCAGGGGUUACACUCGCACAUACACUCUCUGUACUCCAGGGGUUACACUCACGCAUACACUCUCUGUACUCCAGGGGUUACACUCGCAUAUACACUCUCUGUACUCCAGGGGUUACACUCACGUAUACACUCUCUGUACUCCAGGGAUUACACUCACGUAUACACUCUUUGCACUCCUGGUAUAUGUCAUGGCAAUUUGAAGGUACACAGCUAACUAUUUGAUUAGUCUUAGGUGGAAAAAGAACUGAUCAACAGCUAGGCUGAUACCUGUCCUGUGAAGAUUACAGAGGAGCGACUCCCGCCUUCAGAUCUGGUCAAUUUUACUGUUACUCUGUAGAGGGAAUCCUCUCAAAGGAUAAAACUAAUCAUCUUGUAUCAUUCACAAGACAGCACACACUGAUCGAGCCUUCGAAUUUGAAAGUAUGAGUGUAACCCUGAAGUAUCGAGGAUGCGGCGAUUUUGCCAUAGAAGUUCCUUUAGUCUGAAAUAUAGAGGUCUCGUGUAAGUAUUGUAUCCUACCAAAUUAAGUUUGUUGGAAGUGUAUCACUUAAAAUGGAUAUAAUAGAUUGAUAUUAAUGUUAUAAUUUAGUAGUUACUAUAACUGUGAUUAUUGUUCUUUGUCUGCUAUCUUAUGUUAUAUAUGUGUUCGUCUUGCCUCAAACUACCUUCUAUUGUCCAUAAUAUUGUCCAUAAGCUUGUGUUAUUGAUCUUGUUAAAUUUGAAUGAUAAAUUCUUAAUUCAACAUAUAUUCUUAUUUAUUAUAUAUAUACCUGUUUUAUGUAAAGUCAAACAUAUACAUACUUAUACUCUGGUAUUAAUCCUUUAUUCCAUAAAACUUCAUCAUGUAAACUUUUACUUAGGGCUGUUCCAAAAUUAACCGAAAGGGAGAGAGCUCGAGGUACUAGAGACUCAAUAGCCACCACCCAUACACUUUUUAAGUGACUUAAUGUAAGGAAUAGUUUGAAAAUCUAGUUGUAAACCCACCAUGCACCCACAAUAAAUCAAUAAAGGUGCCUCCUACCUCCCCCAUACAAUAAUAAUGGAACAGCCUUUUUUAUCCAGAAAUUCACAUUUUAAACAUGUUGUUCUUUACAAGAAGUUGAUUUUAAUAUAAUAUUUCUUCUAUUGUGUAUAUACAUGUCUUAUUUAAAAUGUUAUUUCAGUCUGGACCCAUUGCACGGUUUCAUUUUAGUUCCAGUGCGAUAUUAACCGAUUAUCAUGUUCAAGUUAUCUUCUGAUUCAUCAGACCAUAUCUAUAUUUUUAGGUCACCUGAGACAAAGUCUCAAGUGACCUAUUGCGAUCGCCUUUUGUCCGUCGUCGUCCGUCG